AGUAGGUCCGAAGGUAGUAAGUUAUCUCAAUUGAUUGUUCAGUCACAGAUUGAACUCUUUGUAAAACUCUCCCUGCCUUCUCAUUAUUGCAUUUGACUAGUCUUAA
rnacentral:Y_RNA from 1 species